rnacentral:rRNA from 1 species
AUGAGGGAUGAAGUUCUUAGACCUCCUUCCAUUAGCCACUGCUUGGAAAAGUUUAGUAUUAGCAUCUCCUUCUCGGAUCCAUCUAAUUCUGGAGCGUUGUCUUUCAAUGGUGCGUUGAAGGGAGGCAAGCCCAAGGACCGAAUGCUUAAGGGACCUACUCAACCAUCUCCCCUUCCAAUUGAGAACCCGGGCCUCCAUAGCUCUGUCCAGCCUAUGUAUGACAUAGUUCACCACAGCCAACUGAAUUUUGAUGUUCCCCAUCUUCUUUUGGCCCCAGGCUUGAAGGGCAGAAGCGGUGUUUCUGAGCAACUGAUCAAGCCUCUUAAAAGGGUCAACAAUAUCGCCUUCACACACCCAUGCGUCUUUGACAGCCUGCUCAAAUCCAUCCAAACGAGUCCAAAAAAGCUCAAAACGAAACCUACGCUUCGGGCAGAAGGGGGCCGAAGUGGAAAGAUGGAGGGGCGCGUGGUCCGAGAUGUUGGUGGAGAGAGCUUGGAGCAGCACGUCCGGGAAAUUGAGCUCCCAGUCAACAGAGACAAGCACCCGAUCGAUCUUGGUCAUAACCACCUGCUCUCUCUCGUUAGACCACGUGAACCUCCUGCCAUGCAUGUAAAUCUCUUUGAGUUCAUUGUUGUCCACGAACGAUUUGAACUUCCUCAUCAUGCUCCUAUUAAGAUUAGAGUUGCUUUUCUCCUCGGCUCCAAUGAUCAUGUUGAAGUCUCCAAGCACCAUCCAGGGGCCCAGAGACACAUCCCUUCUAAGCUAGAGAUCAACGAGAAACUGGGUUUUACGCUCAUUGCCUUGAGGCCCGUACACAACCGACAACCACCACUCGAAGCCGUCCUUGUUACGGACCAGGCCCGAGAGGAAGUUGGUAUCCCGAGAGAUGUUGUUAAUUACCAAAAUCGUGUUGUCCCAACCCAAAAGGAUUCCACCCCUAGUGUCAGAAGCAGGUAA